AUUGAACGCUGGCGGCAGGCCUAACACAUGCAAGUCGAGCGAGCGGCGGACGGGUGCGUAAUGUAUGGGGACUGCCCGAUAGAGGGGGAUAACUACUGGAAACGGUAGCUAAUACCGCAUACUAUCGGAUAACCCAUAUGGGAUUAGAUAGUAGGUGAGGGAAUGGCUCACCUAGGCGACGAUCCCUAGCUGGUCUGCGCGGAUGAUCAGCCAAACUGGGACUGAGACACGGCCCAGACUCCUGCGGAGGCAGCAGUAGGGAAUAUUGCACAAUGGGCGCAAGCCUGAUGCAGACAUGCCGCGUGUGUGAAGAAGGCCCUAGGGUGGUAAAGUACUUUCAGUCGGGAGGCGUUACCGACAGAAGAAGCACCGGCUAACUCCGUGCCAGCCGCCGCGGUAAUUC
rnacentral:rRNA from 1 species